rnacentral:rRNA from 1 species
UGGGGAAUAUUGGGCAAUGGGCGCAAGCCUGACCCAGCAACGCCGCGUGAAGGAAGAAGGCUUUCGGGUUGUAAACUUCUUUUAAGAGGGAAGAGAAGAAGACGGUACCUCUUGAAUAAGCCACGGCUAACUACGUGCCAGCAGCCGCGGUAAUACGUAGGUGGCAAGCGUUGUCCGGAUUUACUGGGUGUAAAGGGCGUGCAGCCGGGAAGACAAGUCAGAUGUGAAAUCCCGCGGCUCAACCGCGGAACUGCAUUUGAAACUGUUUUUCUUGAGUACCGGAGAGGUCAUCGGAAUCCCUUGUGUAGCGGUGAAAUGCGUAGAUAUAAGGAAGAACACCAGUGGCGAAGGCGGAUGACUGGACGGCAACUGACGGUGAGGCGCGAAAGCGUGGGGAGCAAACAGGAUUAGAUACC